GACGAACGCUGGCGGCGUGCCUGACACAUGCAAGUCGGACGGUUCUUGACCUUCAAGCUUGCUUGUUGGUGCAAGGAUAGUGGCGGACGGGUGAGUAACGCGUGAACAUCUACCCAUUGGAGGGGGACAACCCGUCGAAAGGCGGGCUAAUACCGCGUAAGCCGCGAGGUGAGAGGCUGCCUAUUGGUGGCCGCCGAUGGAUGGGUUCGCGUCCUAUCAGCUGGUUGGUGGGGUAACGGCCUACCAAGGCGAAGACGGGUAGCCGGUCUGAGAGGAUGGCCGGCCACACUGGAACUGAGACACGGUCCAGACUCCUACGGGAGGCAGCAGUGGGGAAUAUUGGGCAAUGGGGGAGACCCUGACCCAGCGACGCCGCGUGAGGGACGAAGGUUUUCGGAUCGUAAACCUCUGUUGUACGGGAAGAAGGAAUUGACGGUACCGUACGAGUAAGCCCCGGCAAACUACGUG
rnacentral:rRNA from 1 species